rnacentral:rRNA from 1 species
UGUACACGCUGUGACUAGCAUAUCAAUAAGCGGAGGAAAAGAAACUAACAAGGAUUCCCCUAGUAACGGCGAGUGAAGCGGGAAGAGCUCAAAUUUGAAAUCUUAAAGGGUUUCCCUUUACGAAUUGUAGUUUAAAGAAGUGUUUUCUGUUGAGGUUUUGGUAAAAGUUCUUUGGAAUAGGACAUCAUAGAGGGUGAGAAUCCCGUAUUUGACCUUUACUUUCAACUUUGUGAUACACUUUCAAAGAGUCGGAUUGUUUGGGAAUGCAGUCCAAAAUGGGUGGUAAAUUUCAUCUAAAGCUAAAUAUUGGCGAGAGACCGAUAGCGAACAAGUACCGUGAGGGAAAGAUGAAAAGAACUUUGAAAAGAGAGUUAAACAGUACGUGAAAUUGUCAAAAGGGAAGCGUUUGACACCAGUGUUGUUUUUCUGAAAAUCAAUUAAAGAACUGUUUAUGCUAAGCUGUUUAGACUUUAUCAGCUAUCUGUUUAGUUUUGAGCUUUUCUUUAAUGCACUUUUCAGUUAACAAGUCAACAUCAAUUUCUUUUGCUGUAAAAAAGCUUGAGGAAGGUGGCUUGAGAUUCGUCUUAAGUGUUUAUAGCCUCUUGCCUAUGCAGUCGGAGAGAUUGAGGUCUGCAGCGUAGAUCCUUCGGGGCUAAAUGCAUUUGUGCUAAGUUAUAGCAUUUUAUAGACAACUUGUUGACUAUGAUUUGUCUUGUAGCUUACUCGCUUAUGUUAUUUUACCUACGCUUAGGAUGUUGAUAUGCAUGACUGAUAU